GCAACCCACACACAAAAUACAGGAAGAUUGGCACAGAUGUUAACUCAGAGUGACUCUUCCUCAAUAAAAAGAAAGCAAAAGAAAGAUCGCCUUCUUCUGAGAGUGAUAAUUAGUUGAAUUUGUAUUGAUGGAGAGCAUGAGCGCAGAUAUCUGUACAGCGCUACACGUGCAAAGGAAGCCGGGACCCGGUCAAUAGGAAACCCUGCACGGGCACAUUCCUCACACUUGUUCGCUAAGGGGGACAGGUAACCAAGGUUGUUUUGUGUACUCUUCCUCCUCGUUAGUUCAGUUAUCCCCCGAAAUAUCUUAACGACUUUCGCAUUUUUUCUGUUCUCUUUGCUCUCUGUCACAGACAAAAAAAUUUAGAUGUUUUGAAAAAUAGCUCACUGAGAAUAUACACUUCAUCUUGUUUUCAUAGGCUAAGAAAGAGGGAGAGACAGAUACAGAGGGAGACACAGAGGGAAAGAGUGCAAAUUUAGGAAAAGUCAUUGGCAAAUGAAAUUAAAUGCCCAAAGCAUGAAAGCUUAUAGAAAGUUCAGGAAAUACUUAUUACAUUUGAUGAGUCCAUAGUGGACAAUACAUCGGAAGUGUACUAAAUGGAGUAAUUGGAACAAAUGCUUCUUUCCUUUCUGUAUCCAGGCAGUUGGUCACAUAACCCUGCAUUUUCUCCCUUUAGAGGCAGAGGUAAUUUCUCUAACCUUUGUCUUUGGACUGGGGCAUGUGGUUCCCUGAUUCAAAGGGUGCUAGCAGACAUUGUGCAAAUUGAGGCUUAAAAUGGACUUGCACAGUUGGACUUUCCUUCAUGUGGUUCUUGUAUUGCCACAGUAAGAAGAUGUCUCUGGGGCCCAUCCAGUGGCAUAGCAGUUAACUUCGCAUGCUCCGCUUCAGAGGCCCACGGUUUGCCUGUUCCGAUCCUGGGUGUGGACCUAUACACACUUAUCAAAUCAUAGUGUGGCAGGCGUCCCGCAUAUAAAGCAGAGGAAGAUGGGCAAAGGUGUUAUAACGUUCAGGGCCAAUCUUCCUAGCAAAAAGAGGAGGUUUGGCGGUAGAUGUUAGCUCAGGGCUAAUCUUCCUCAAAAGAAGAAGAAGAAGAAGAAGAAGAAGAAGAAGAAGAAGAUGCCUCUGCUAGCCUGCUGAUACAUAGAGGAUGGGAGACAGAUGAAAGAAACUGGCAAUCUCCAGCUUGGAGCUAAGCCCAGAUGAGCUCACCCUAAAUAAACUUACGUACAAACGCACAGAUGAAAAUGAAUGAUUCCCAUUUCAGGAUCCAGAAUUCUGGGGUAGUUUGUUUCACAAUAUUAUUUUGGCAACAUUUGACCGAUAUAGAAUGACACAGUGGAAAUUGUAAGUUAGAUUCAGGAUACAGAGAGACUUCUAUUUUAGAUUUCAUUUUUCUAUAAGAAACUGUUCAUUUUUGCAUUUGUAUACGGAUUCACAUGUUAGAGAUGAACUAAAC
rnacentral:lncRNA from 1 species